AUUUCGUCCUCAGUACACUAGUUUCACAUUCACAGUAUAUCAAAGAAGAGGGACGAAAGAUACCGGAGGGACAGUCAAACUCAUAAAUCGACAAUAAACUGACAACGCCAUGGCUAAAAAUGAAAAGGAAAAACAGACAAACAAUAGUACACAUAACACAACAUAGAAAUCUAAAGAAUAAACAACACUAACCCCACUAAAAACUAG
rnacentral:lncRNA from 1 species